AGAGUUGCAUAGCUCCGUAACUGGUAAAAAAAUAUUUACUUAAUGUGAACAGAAAAUGAGAUAUUUUUCAGUAUAAAAUGAUCAUACAAUUCUUUAUGCGAUAUAUGCAGAGAAGAAAAGAGAUAUGGAUAAAAUUCACAAAUUUAUUUAUGCUUUGAUAUUUUUUCUUGCACUAUUUCUUGUCGUCAAUGCAAGAAAUGGAUGCAUUGUUGACCCCAGAUGUCCAUACCAACAGUGUCGCCGACCACUUUAUUGUCGACGUCGUUAGGUUGACAAAUAUUUCCUUACAACUUUUUCACCAGAAAUAACACUGUCAAUCUUUUGAUUUCUCCCGCAGUUGAAAAUUUUUAUUAACAGGUUUAGAAGGUUUGAUUAGUUUUAGAUGUUAUGAGAAACUACAAUGAUAUGGGUGGAACUUGGAAAGUGAAGAAGCCUUUUUGGCUGAAGGAGUUUAUUACUAAGUAGUCUUUUAUUUUUGGCUUGGUUAUUUGAAUUCCAUAAAGACAGAAAUGUAAUUUCAGAAUAGUGUCUCUGCACUAUAAAUGUAGGCUUUAAGCCAAAACCCUAAUCUACGAAGAAUCUGAAAUUGUUAUUUACUUGUUCUUAUUAGUUUAGUGAAAACCUAGCAGAAUUUUACGGUAUUUUUUUAAUUUAUCAAUCUUUAGAAUAGAAAACUCUAUCGGUUAUGGGAUCGCAUACAACAAAGAAAACCAAAACUGGAAUUACUUGCUUUUGAUGGAUCAGAACCCUUAGAUUGGUUAUUUCAAGCUGAACAAAUAUUUCCUUAUAACAACCAAGUUGUUUGGGCUCCAGUGGCAAGGAGCUCCUUCCAAGGACGUAUCAGACGUAUCAGAGGAAUACCGGGUUCGAUUCCCAGGGGGAACAACGCUUGGCCAGUGCGCUUGCCUCUACGCAUGAGCUGGAUUAGUCGUCCACCUUUGGUGGGUCGGAAACUGGUGCGAAAGCUAAAAAAAAAAAAAAAUUCCUUAUAACUUUUUCACCAUAAAUUAUAAUUCUAUUUAAAUUCUCUAA